AAGGUCUAACCUGCCCAAUGAGGGAUUAAAUGGCCGCAGUAUUUUGACUGUGCAAAGGUAGCAUAAUUAUUAGUUUUUUAAUUAAAAGCUUGUAUGAAGGGUUGGACGAGAUAAAAUCUGUCUUUAUUUAAUUUAAAAUAAAAUUUAACUUUUAAGUCAAAAGGCUUAAAUUUCUAUAAAAGACGAGAAGACCCUAUAGAUCUUUAUUUAAUUAAAUUUUUAAUAAUUUAGGAUUAUUUUAAUUUAUAAUUUUAAUUAAAUUUUAUUGGGGUAAUAUAAAGAUUAAAUUAAUUCUUUUAAUUUUUUCCACUAAUUUGUGAAUAGGUGAUCCAUUAUUAGUGAUUAUAAGAUUAAGUUACCUUAGGGAUAACAGCGUAAUUUUUUUGGAGAGCUCAUAUCGAUAAAAAAGUUUGCGACCUCGAUGUUGGAUUAAAAAUUAGCUUGGGUGCAGAAGCUCAAGAUUUUGGUCUGUUCGACCAUUAAAUUUUUACAUGAUCUGAGUUCAGACCGGCGUAAGCCAGGUCGGUUUCUAUCUUUAUUUAAUUAAAAUAUUUUAGUACGAAAGGACCAAAUAUUUAAUAUAAUGAUAUUUAUAUUUUGAAUAAUAUU
rnacentral:rRNA from 1 species